UUUCACCAUGGGAGGGUACAGUGGCCAAGGCAGCAUCUUACAAGCAGAGACAUGAAACCUUUACCAGACAGACUCUGAACAAACCUUAGUUUGAAGCCUGACCUCCAGAACUGUAAGAGGUUGUGUUAGGUGAGGCGACGAGAAGAGCAUUCCAGAUGUGGGCAGCACCGUUUAUUUCAUCACCUUGAUCUGGACGGAGAGAAAGAAAUGAGCAAGCUGAGCAUCAUCCGUCUCUCUCUGCUUCCUGACUGCAGGUGCCGAGUGACCCACCCGCGGCUUCACGUUCCUGCCUUUCCAAAGCGAUGGGCUGUACCCUCAAACCAUGAGAUAAAAUAAAUCCUGCCUACCUUAAA